AUUGAACGCUGGCGGCAUGCCUUACACAUGCAAGUCGAACGGCAGCACGGGAGAAUCCCGGUGGCGAGUGGCGAACGGGUGAGUAAAGUAUCGGAACGUGCCCAGUCGUGGGGGAUAACGUAGCGAAAGUUACGCUAAUACCGCAUACGAUCUAUGGAUGAAAGCGGGGGAUCGCAAGACCUCGCCCGAUUGGAGCGGGCGAUAUCAGAUUAGGGAGUUGGGGGGGUAAAGGCUCACCAAGCCGACGGUCUGUGGCGGGUCUGAGAGGACGCCCAGCCACACUGGGAAUGACACCCGGCCCAGACUCCUACGGGAGGCAGCAGUGGGGAAUUUUGGACAAUGGGCGAAAGCCUGAUCCAGCCAUGCCGCGUGCAGGAUGAAGGCCUUCGGGUUGUAAACUGCUUUUGUACGGAACGAAAAGGUUUGGCCUAAUAAGCUGAGCUCAUGACGGUACCGUAGGAAUAAGCACCGGCUAACUACGUGCCAGCCGCCGCCGUAA
rnacentral:rRNA from 1 species